GCGUAGAUAGGGAUUUUUGCCUGUACGCUAAAUGCCAGAUCUACAAUGUAGCUCCAAAAUAAUGGUACAAGUUCAGGAUCCCUCCAUCAUCCGGUCACACUGCUUCUGGUAUUCUGCUUUAUGCCAUACUAAUGCCUAGCGUGUUCCAUAGUUUAGGGGAGGUGUGGAUAUGCCAGUCAGCCAAUCAAAUGUGUGUCUUAGUUAGAUGUUAGUGGGACUUGACCCCUAGAUUUCUUAGUUGGUUACUUUGUCAUUUAAAAAGGUACUUCACAUGUAAAGAGACAGAAAGGAGAAACAAUGGUGCAGUAUGUUUGUAGUAUAUGGGGGACAACCCCAUUCGUCUGUAUAUCUUAGUUCCUCAGUAGAAAUCUCAAUGGAGUCUUAUGCACCACUGAGUAGUAUGUAAAUUCCCGGCCCCCCUAGAAUCAAUUUCUCCUCUUGAAAUGUACUGCCUGAUGAAAUGUACUGCCUGAUGAAGGCGUGCUGUUUAAAAUUUGGUGCAUAAACCGUGGAAAAAGUCUGGGAAUUAAUACUGCACUUCAAGAAUAAAUACGUUCAUCUGAGUCUGCCCUCAGAUCAAGUAGCUGAAAAGGUACCAGCGAGAUAACCAUAUUGCGACUCCAGACCAUUGGAUAUCUGUGAUCCCUCAACACAGGAGAGUUAUUCUCUCUGAAAUGCGUCUCCUGCAACAUCACGGUGGACGCCCAGUCUGUCCACAUUACCCUUAGGAGCCGCGUGCACUUUUCUGAUAGGUUUGGACCUCUUGCAUUUAUCAACCAAACCUGUACAUUGGCCUUGACCCAAAUUUGCACCAUACAGAAUGCGAUAUUAAAAAGUAUUGUAGGGGAGGUUGGAAAGGAAAAGCAGCUUGAAUCAUGGGUGUAUGGGUAGAGAGAAAAUGUGUAGUGAUAAACUAAUAUUCUAAACACAGCAGCCUAGGAGAGUCCUGCCCCUAUCUGGAAAAUAGUAUACAAAGGGGAGCAGGGCCCAUCAGGAAGUAUAAAGGAUGCACCAAUGCCUUCUAGGAAAAUGUCUGUUAGCCGACUUCAACAGUGAAGUACAACAUGUUAUGUAUGUAAUUAGAACUUGUAUAGUAUCGAGCGCAUGAAAAAAUGUGUGGGAAAUCCCCCUUAAUAUUCCUUAAUUGAAGUCCCAUAGCCCUUCAGAUAUAUGUUAUCUGGGGGCCUCCCAUGUCUUCGGUGGUAAAACUAGGUGGGUAUCUCUAUUUAGCUAAUUAUCAUCCAUUAGAGUGACUAAGAGAGCUAACCUGGCAGUUGAUUGCCUAAAUUAGGGUGGGAGGGGCUAAGCUUACUACAGGAGGCAAAAUGUCCUCGUGUGUGUCCUCAUGAGCAGCAUCAUCACCUUAGCUGCAACCUGCCUACCGCAUCCUGGGGUCCAGUUAGGAUGUUCUCUCUUGUGUCCAGUGUAAAAUUGGUCUUCUCCCUGGGAUCCAGGGGGGGAUGAAUCUUCUCCCUGGGGUCCAGUGGCUCCUUUGCUCUUCCAGUUCCUCACAGCUCCCUCGCAGAGUGUUUAGUUAUGCGAGGGCUGCAGUGAUGUCAUAUUCUAGCUCGGGAGCUUUGAGGAACUGGAAGAAUAUCAGUGCUCCCUUGCUGCCUGACUUCUGGCUCCUGUCCCUACUCUCCCAUUCAGCAGAGUAAACACUUGCUGUCAGGGGGAGGCAUGGGGCCUACUCCACCUUAAUGAAUAAGAGCCCGCUUUGUGGUCACCCCAAAGACCUGUGACAGGCGAUUGGCCUGCUCCUCACCACCACCUACCUCAUGAUUUUUCCAGCCCUCCCUUACCCUCGUUAGUUAUGCUACUGUAUGGCCCUACAGUUUAGAAGUGUAAUUAUGUUAUAUUUACUGGACUCUGUUCUUAUGUUGUGGCAAGCAUAUUCCAAUCUUGGAACUUAGGAUGCAUUGGCAUUUUCUUACCUCAUGCCACUGAGUUUAAAGAUUGCACUGGUGAUAUCAGAGGAAGCAUUAUUCUAAGAUAUCUAUGUGAUAAGAAAGAGAGACAUUUGUUAGGAAGGUCCUCAGAGUUAGUGAUAUUAUAGAUAUAAAAAGGGGUUAAAAUAAAAAAGCUAAUGUGAAGCAGGAAGGUGAAAGAAUAGAAAGCAGAAACAUUACAAAGGAUGUAAAAAGACAUGAAUAUAUAAUGCAACAAUGAUCACGUCGGCUGAUUAUGGUAGGGGGAUACAAAGGGUUACUUAAGUAAAGGGGGAAUGAGAAAACAUGGUUGGAGAAGAUAAGAUACAAUGGAUUAAUCUAAUAAUGAUGGAGUGAGAUGAUAUGGUUGGAACGAUAUGAAGAAUUAAUGUAAUAAUAUGAGGUGUUAUGGGAGGGGAGAUACAAAGAAUUUAUCUAAUAAUGGGGAUUCAUAUGAUAAG
rnacentral:lncRNA from 1 species